AGCUGGGACACCCUGUCCCACAGGGACGGCCGGUUAAGACCUAAAAUGAGGGACAACGGGUAAAAUUAGGAUUCAUCCCAGCAGAAACUGCUUCUGGCUGAAGGACUGUAAGGAUUUUUAGGUUUCAUAAUCAGAAGCUGCCACUAGAUGGCGAUAUCAGUCAAAGAGAUGCUAGUCAUUACUGUUGUCUUAUUCAUUUAAUAGCAAAGACAUGAGAGAAACCAGAGGGUCUGAAUGAGAUUAAAGCUGCUUGUGAAACUUCCUGUUUCUGUGUCAGUGCUGCAACCAUGCAGGUUUCCCAGUCCGGCCUCCCAGUCCAGCCUCCCAUUCCAGGGAAAAUACUGGCAUACUGGAAAAACAAUUAUUCGUGUACUGGGGUGCAGUAAUGUGCCUGUGAAAUUCAGCAGACAAUCAUUCUUUGAGCUGGGAGCUCCUCAAGGGAGCAGAAAGACUUCAGCAGGGUCCUGAUGGGCUGUCUCAGCCGCUGGGUCAGAACUCCCAGUGAAGAGCCUCAGCAGCUCCCUCAGACAAACGUCGUGUCUGCUUACCUGGAAGACAUCGGGUCAUCGUACAACGUGACGACAAGCAGCUGCGUCCAAGCUGACCACAUGGCCAGCAGCAGACCUGAUUUUCAUCUCGCUACAACAGGUGAUCUGGUUCUGUGCAUCUAAUCUGGAUCCAGAUAACCUGAUUAAUUCUGACGUAGGAGAACACAGAACACACUGCAGACUAAAGGAUGAUCAAAUCUUCCAGAACCAUCUUCGGCAUCACCGGGUCAGGAUUCAGUCGGGAGGGGGGUGGACUCCCUACCUCUUCCUGUGGAGUCAAGAUGUCCUCUGAGCCUCUGAAAGACAGGACUUACAUCCAGGCAACUGCUCCCUGUAAGGGAUGGGUUAAAUGUAGAGGACAAAUUUUGUUGUUGUAAUGUACAUGUGCAAUAACCAAUAAAGAUGAUGAUUAUUAUUA